CAUCUACAGUUCUGGGAUUUAAAAUCAGCUGGUUACUCCAAAUUGUCCAAAAUCCAAAGGAGAUAAAUUACAUAAUUUCAAUUUAACGAAUAUCAACCACGUUCUCACAGUAUGGGAGGUCACGAUGCACAUCAUCAUGGUCCACCAUAUAAAAUACCCAACCAUGAUAUUUUUAAAGUGGAAGAUGUACCAGCAUUGAAACGUGUUCAAGAAGAAUUAGCCAAGAAAGGAUUGAAGGAUCCUUGGCUGAGAAAUCAAGUAUGGCGCUACAAAACAAGUGCAUCGCCUUAUAUGCGCGCAUUAAUAUGUAUAACGAGAGGUUGGAGAAUUGCUAUACCAGCAUUCCUCAUAACUAUCGCUGUUGAACAAUAUUUUGGGAUCGAUUACUCGGGACAUGGACAUCAUGAGGAUAAGCAUGGAAAUGGUCAUCAUUAGUGUUCACUUUAGAUUAAUGUGGUACAAGGAAGUAAGAAGUAGUAGAGUGUAAAGAGAUUUCUCUUAACGUUGCAUUUAAUGAUCAUUAAGAAUAAUUGAGAUAUGAUAACCGUCGCUAUACAAGCGAAAAUAUAAG